CUUCCGUUGGCUUGAAUUUCCUCUAUCAUUAAGGCAACUAACCAUCUUGUCGCACCGUUUUGUCAACAUGCCUCCACUUGAGCGCUAUUGAGUAUCACAUAUUCCAGCUAAGUUUAUGUCGCACCUAAACUUGCUAUCUGAUCCCUGGAUAAAGUGACAUCUGCCAUCAAGUUCUUCACACACGACAAUAAUCAUCUUAUUAGCAUCUAAACUCCCUGAUUCCUGCAAAUUAACUGGUCUUGAAACUGAAAAAUUAUAUACAACUAGAUUCUCAUAUCUUUGUGGUCAUCUAAUCUGUCUUCUCUGCCUGCUUGUUGCAAUACUAUAUGGUUGUUGUUGAUCAAAUGCACUAUCACCUUCUUGAUUAAGAUCAUGCACUUCAUUCCCUGAAUCAUUGGACUAAAUUUUUAACUUAGCUUGUUCUCUGACACCGUGAUCUGAUGUUGCUAUUGUUUUCCCAUUCUGACUGUUUAAUGAAGCAUAUUCAUUAAACUGCUGAUAAUUAACUCUGGAAACUUGAGAUCACUACACUAGCACUUAUAGCCUUUCACUCCAUAUACAUACCUAAGAAAUAUGCAUUUAUUU
rnacentral:lncRNA from 1 species